CUCUAGGCUGUCAACCGGUAUGUCUUCUUCAGCUGUAUCUUUAUUACUGGUCAUUUCCUUUCUUUUUAUGGUGCUAAGCAUUCUGUUAGCCUCCUUUGUCAGUCCAAUGGCACGCCACGCUUCUGCAACUAGCAGCAUGGUGGAUCUCUCAGGCUCUACCUUAAAUGCUGGCAUAAUCUGGAGAAUUUCUUCUGCUUUCCAUGGCUGCUUGGCUUCACUAAAUCCCCAAAUUAAUGUCUCAAAAGUC
rnacentral:misc_RNA from 1 species